rnacentral:rRNA from 1 species
AGCGAACGCUGGCGGCAGGCCUAACACAUGCAAGUCGAACGAACCUUUCGGGGUUAGUGGCGGACGGGUGAGUAACACGUGGGAACGUGCCUUUAGGUUCGGAAUAACUCAGGGAAACUUGUGCUAAUACCGAAUGUGCCCUUCGGGGGAAAGAUUUAUCGCCUUUAGAGCGGCCCGCGUCUGAUUAGCUAGUUGGUUGAGGUAAUGGCUCACCAAGGCGACGAUCAGUAGCUGGUCUGAGAGGAUGAUCAGCCCCAUUGGGACUGAGACACGGCCCAAACUCCUACGGGAGGCAGCAGUGGGGAAUCUUGCGCAAUGGGCGAAAGCCUGACGCAGCCAUGCCGCGUGAAUGAUGAAGGUCUUAGGAUUGUAAAAUUCUUUCACCGGGGACGAUAAUGACGGUACCCGGAGAAGAAGCCCCGGCUAACUUCGUG